rnacentral:rRNA from 1 species
GACGAACGCUGGCGGCGUGCUUAACACAUGCAAGUCGAACGGAAAGGCCCUGCUUUUGUGGGGUGCUCGAGUGGCGAACGGGUGAGUAACACGUGAGUAACCUGCCCUUGACUUUGGGAUAACUUCAGGAAACUGGGGCUAAUACCGGAUAGGAGCUCCUGCUGCAUGGUGGGGGUUGGAAAGUUUCGGCGGUUGGGGAUGGACUCGCGGCUUAUCAGCUUGUUGGUGGGGUAGUGGCUUACCAAGGCUUUGACGGGUAGCCGGCCUGAGAGGGUGACCGGCCACAUUGGGACUGAGAUACGGACCAGACUCCUACGGGAGGCAGCAGUGGGGAAUAUUGCACAAUGGGCGGAAGCCUGAUGCAGCAACGCCGCGUGCGGGAUGACGGCCUUCGGGUUGUAAACCGCUUUCGCCUGUGUCGAAGCGUGAGUGACGGUAAUGGGUAAAGAAGCACCGGCUAACUACGUG